rnacentral:piRNA from 1 species
UAAUGGUCUCUAAUUCACAUUGGAUCGUGGG